GGAAAUUGAGGAACUUGAACGGGAGAAUCAUCUCCGCAGCCAAUAGGUAUAAAUGCCUGGAUCACUGGUGAUUUCUGUUAUUGGUGUCUUCUAUUCUUUCUGUAGAUCCAUGUGGAGCCAUGAAACACUGUUGUAAAGAAAUGUCUUUAUGAUAUAAGAAUAGUUGAAGUGAUAAUGUUGAGAUAGAUGAAUAUGACCCUAGAUAGAACUUAAAUGAUGAAAGAAAUUUAGCUGCCUGCAGUAACAGGGAAUGAAACCAUUGUUGUUGAAUAUCUGCUUGAUUGGUUGGUUAAAAGAGGAGUAGAUGUGAUGGAUAGGAAGAACCCAGUUAGCAAGCUGAAGUUAACAAUGUCUAUUCUGUUUUUUUUUUUUUCUUUUAUUUAUCCAUUUUGUUAACUAGUUCAUUUUACAUGAUGAUGGAAAGAUUUUAAUAGAGGUGAGCAUUCGGUUCAAACUAAACCGAAUCAAAUCAUGAAAACUGAAUUAUAUAUUUUAGAAACCGAACUGAACCGAAGUGGAUGAAAAACUAAAUCGAACCGAACUGCUCUAUUUCGAUUCGGUUCGGUUCGGUUCAAACUGAUUGGUUUUGAUUUUUGAUUGAUUUUU
rnacentral:misc_RNA from 1 species